AAAUGAGGAACUAAGUCUUGUGUUAAGUUUGAGAGUGGAUGUUACGGCCCUGUCCUGUACUGUGGGGAGUCUUCUUGUUCUGGCAGCCGCUCCUUCUUGUUUCUCCUCGUUGCAGGUGCUGAUUGGCUGUGUUUUGGCCCCGCCUGUUGGUCUUCACUAUUUCUGUCCGCACCACUGGCUUUUUGACAGUUUGAAGGAUCCCGUCCAUGGGUGUGGCUGCUGGCUCUCUCCUCAGCGGCAUCAUCAUUUAUUAUGCACCUUUAAGUAUAUUUUGAUCAUUUGUUAGCCUUGGUUGUCGUUCUUUAUGUUUAAGCCUGAUUUUGUUGGCAUUAAAUCUUGCUUUGUACACCUUUAAGACGUUGUCGCCUCCCACCUUUGUGUCACAGCGUGAACGGCUGUAACAAAAUGGGGGCUUGUCUAAAAACACACACACUUGUUAAAUAUAUUUGGGUUGUGUUUUGGGGUUUUUCGACCGUGUUUUGAUCUAUGGUGGUGUGGAGGCGCAUGUGUGGCUCAGUCCUGUGUGGCGUCUUGUUCGGGUCUAAACUCGUUUCUGAUUGGUUUGUACCUGGGGAUUCCCUGUGACGUCAUUUUCCUUAUAUGGACAGUUGUAGCGCUCUUUAGGAGACCUGGUUUGAUUUGCAUCCUAUCCUUUGACUGGGUUUUGUCGGCGCCGUUCAUGGUGUUGUCAGCUUUGCUGUUUGGAGACUCAGAGCAGUCUGCAGUCACCAAGCCAGCGGCUAGUGCGCUGGGCCCUUUUUCUCCAGUCUUACAGCCUGGAGAUACGACACAUCAAGGGAUUGGACAACGUUGUUGCAGACGCACUGUCGAGAUCCCCGCCGGACCAUGCCUCACUGACAUCCGUUCCAGCUGAUGGGACUAAAGUGACAUCUGCUGCCCAAGCUACUCCAACUGCUGAGCUGAGGGUUCCUGCUGGUGCUGCGAGUCGCAUCUUGGGCUUUGCUGAAAUGUACUGACAAUGAUGUUUGUGCUGAACACAUUGUCUUGCCUACCAGAGGUAAAUUAGAUCGGCUGCCCGUAAUUUUGAAAGUCUACCAAGAGCCCUAGCUUGGUUUAUUAGAAGGCUCUGUGUGAGCCUCUUUUUGUAAAGGGGGAGGUGUUACGGCCCUGUCCUGUACUGUGGGGAGUCUUCUUGUUCUGGCAGCCGCUCCUUCUUGUUUCUCCUCGUUGCAGGUGCUGAUUGGCUGUGUUUUGGCCCCGCCUGUUGGUCUUCACUAUUUCUGUCCGCACCACUGGCUUUUUGACAGUUUGAAGGAUCCCGUCCAUGGGUGUGGCUGCUGGCUCUCUCCUCAGCGGCAUCAUCAUUUAUUAUGCACCUUUAAGUAUAUUUUGAUCAUUUGUUAGCCUUGGUUGUCGUUCUUUAUGUUUAAGCCUGAUUUUGUUGGCAUUAAAUCUUGCUUUGUACACCUUUAAGACGUUGUCGCCUCCCACCUUUGUGUCACAGCGUGAACGGCUG
rnacentral:lncRNA from 1 species